UACAGAGGUCCCAAGCGUUGUUCGGAUUCACUGGGCGUAAGGGUGCGUAGGCGGUUGGGUAAGUCUGACGUGAAAUCUCCGGGCCUAACCCGGAAACUGCGUCGGAUACUAUCCGGCUAGAGGAUUGGAAGGGAGACUGGAAUACUUGGUGUAGCAGUGAAAUGCGUAGAUAUCGUAAGGAAGACCAGUGGCGAAGGCGGGUCUCUGGACAGUUCCUGACGCUGAGGCACGAAGGCCAGGGGAGCAAACGGG
rnacentral:rRNA from 1 species